AGACAACCCUGUUCCUGUAGUACCACAGGACCCUGGAGCAGGGGUAGACAACCCUGUUCCUGUAGUACCACAGGACCCUAGAGCAGGUGUAGACAACCCUGUUCCUGUAGUACCACAGGACCCUAGAGCAGGUGUAGACAACCCUGGUCCUGUAGUACCACAGGACCCUAGAGCAGGGGUAGACAACCCUGUUCCUGUAGUACCACAGGACCCUAGAGCAGGUGUAGACAACCCUGUUCCUGUAGUACCACAGGACCCUAGAGCAGGGGUAGACAACCCUGUUCCUGUAGUACCACAGGACCCUAGAGCAGGGGUAGACAACCCUGUUCCUGUAGUACCACAGGACCCUAGAGCAGGAGUAGACAACCCUGUUCCUGUAGUACCACAGGACCCUAGAGCAGGAGUAGACAACCCUGUUCCUGUAGUACCACAGGACCCUAGAGCAGGGGUAGACAACCCUGUUCCUGUAGUACCACAGGACCCUAGAGCAGGAGUAGACAACCCUGUUCCUGUAGUACCACAGGACCCUAGAGCAGGUGUAGACAACCCUGUUCCUGUAGUACCACAGGACCCUAGAGCAGGAGUAGACAACCCUGUUCCUGUAGUACCACAGGACCCUAGAGCAGGUGUAGACAACCCUGUUCCUGUAGUACCCCAGGACCCUAGAGCAGGGGUAGACAACCCUGUUCCUGUAGUACCACAGGACCCUAGAGCAGGGGUAGACAACCCUGUUCCUGUAGUACCACAGGACCCUAGAGCAGGGGUAGACAACCCUGUUCCUGUAGUACCACAGGACCCUAGAGCAGGGGUAGACAACCCUGUUCCUGUAGUGCUGCAGGUACUGCAGGAUUUUGUUCCAACUAGGCACCACACCUGACCAACUGAGCUGUUUGAUCAAUUCAGGGAUUGCCUAAGUUCAACACGUCUGGUCUUCCAGGUUAGAUAAAUCAAAACAAGGGUUGCCUACCCCUGGACAGGAGCCUUGGUGCUACAGUCCAGCAGGAAGCCUAGUGGUUAGAGCCUUGGUGCUACAGUCCAGCAGGUAGCCUAGUGGUUAGAGCCUUGGUGCUACAGUCCAGCAGGUAGCCUAGUGGUUAGAGCCUUGGUGCUACAGUCCAGCAGGUAGCCUAGUGGUUAGAGCCUUGGUGCUACAGUCCAGCAGGUAGCCUAGUGGUUAGAGCCUUGGUGCUACAGUCCAGCAGGUAGCCUAGUGGUUAGAGCCUUGGUGCUACAGUCCAGCAGGUAGCCUAGUGGUUAGAGCCUUGGUGCUACAGUCCAGCAGGUAGCCUAGUGGUUAGAGCCUUGGUGCUACAGUCCAGCAGGUAGCCUAGUGGUUAGAGCCUUGGUGCUACAGUCCAGCAGGUAGCCUAGUGGUUAGAGCCUUGGUGCUACAGUCCAGCAGGUAGCCUAGUGGUUAGAGCCUUGGUGCUACAGUCCAGCAGGUAGCCUAGUGGUUAGAGCCUUGGUGCUACAGUCCAGCAGGUAGCCUAGUGGUUAGAGCCUUGGUGCUACAGUCCAGCAGGUAGCCUAGUGGUUAGAGCCUUGGUGCUACAGUCCAGCAGGUAGCCUAGUGGUUAGAGCCUUGGUGCUACAGUCCAGCAGGUAGCCUAGUGGUUAGAGCCUUGGUGCUCUAACUAACAUUAAUAUGAAUUGAACAGAGGUCAUCUGAAGUUCAUCAAAAUAUUUGAUUUAUCCCAUGAGGCAGGCAGGAGUCCAGAUACUUAAAAACGGCAUACAAUAUCAUUGCUGCAGUAGCAGUAUAAUUAGAAGAUAUUAUAUUAUAUUAUAUUAGACAACAGCAUAGUCUGGCUGCAGUAGCAGUAUAAUUAGAAUAUAUUAUAUUAUACUGUAUAAGACAAUAGCAUAGUCUGGCUGCAGUAGCAGUAUAAUUAGAAUAUAUUAUAUAAGACAACAGCAUAGUCUGGCUGCAGUAGCAGUAUAAUUAGAAGGUUAAUAUUC